rnacentral:rRNA from 1 species
UCCGUAGGUGGAUAAUUAAGUCAGGGGUGAAAGUCUGCAGCUCAACUGUAGAAUUGCCUUUGAUACUGGUUAUCUUGAAUUAUUAUGAAGUAGUUAGAAUAUGUAGUGUAGCGGUGAAAUGCAUAGAUAUUACAUAGAAUACCAAUUGCGAAGGCAGAUUACUAAUAAUAUAUUGACACUGAUGGACGAAAGCGUGGGGAGCGAACAGGAUUAGAUACCCUGGUAGUC